AUGGAGACAAGAAAGGGCUGGAAUUACGAUGAGGAAUAUCUGAACCCACAAAAGGGGUUGGUAGAUCGGGGUUGGGCAAUGUUGAGAGGCUGGGGAAAGACCGUGGCUAAACUUCCUGACAAUCGGUGCCAACGCCAUCCAAUGUGGAAUGGGGACACCACUACGGGCAUCAAUCCAACCUCUGCGACGACGAAUCCAACAGCAAGUGUUAUCUAUCCGCCGGAACAAUACAACACCGGCAGCUACUACAGACACUGCCCGCACUGCCAGCAGGAGCAAGCAACAACAACUCGCCAACAGCAGCAGCAGACGCCAGCAAGUGACGCUGGUUUCGUGGAUCGGGUUGUCAAUUUGGUGCGCCGACGAUCAUAA
rnacentral:rRNA from 1 species